rnacentral:rRNA from 1 species
UACAGAGGGGGGCAAGCGUUGUCCGGAAUUACUGGGCGUAAAGGGCGCGUAGGCGGCCCGCUAAGUCGAACGUGAAAAUCCCCCAGGCUCAACCUGGGAACUGCGUCCGAUACUGGCAGGCUUGAAUCCGGGAGAGGGAUGUGGAAUUCCAGGUGUAGCGGUGAAAAUGCGUAGAUAUCUGGAGGAACACCGGUGGCGAAGGCGGCAUCCUGGACCGGUAUUGACGCUGAGGCGCGAAAGCUAGGGAGCAAACGGG